GAUGAACGCUGGCGGCGUGCCUAAUACAUGCAAGUCGAGCGAACGGACGAGAAGCUUGCUUUUCUGAUGUUAGCGGCGGACGGGUGAGUAACACGUGGAUAACCUACCUAUAAGACUGGGAUAACUUCGGGAAACCGGAGCUAAUACCGGAUAAUAUUUUGAACCGCAUGGUUCAAAAGUGAAAGGCGGUCUUGCUGUCACUUAUAGAUGGAUCCGCGCUGCAUUAGCUAGUUGGUAAGGUAACGGCUUACCAAGGCAACGAUGCAUAGCCGACCUGAGAGGGUGAUCGGCCACACUGGAACUGAGACACGGUCCAGACUCCUACGGGAGGCAGCAGUAGGGAAUCUUCCGCAAUGGGCGAAAGCCUGACGGAGCAACGCCGCGUGAGUGAUGAAGGUCUUCGGAUCGUAAAACUCUGUUAUUAGGGAAGAACAUAUGUGUAAGUAACUGUGCACAUCUUGACGGUACCUAGUCAGAAAGCCACGGCUAACUACGUG
rnacentral:rRNA from 1 species